UACAGAGGGGGCAAGCGUUGUUCGGAAUUACUGGGCGUAAAGGGCGCGUAGGCGGCCUGUUAAGUCGAACGUGAAAUCCCCAGGCUCAACCUGGGAACUGCGUCCGAUACUGGCAGGCUUGAAUCCGGGAGAGGGAUGCGGAAUUCCAGGUGUAGCGGUGAAAUGCGUAGAUAUCUGGAGGAACACCGGUGGCGAAGGCGGCAUCCUGGCAUUAGCCUGACGCUCAGGUGCGAAAGCGUGGGGAGCGAACGGG
rnacentral:rRNA from 1 species